UACGGGGGGGAGCAAGCGUUGUUCGGAUUUACUGGGCGUAAAGGGCGGGUAGGCGGCCACCGCAAGUCAGUUGUGAAAUCUCCGGGCUUAACCCGGAAAGGUCAACUGAUACUGCGGGGCUAGAGUGCAGAAGGGGCAACUGGAAUUCUCGGUGUAGCGGUGAAAUGCGUAGAUAUCGAGAGGAACACCAGUGGCGAAGGCGGCUCACUGGACCGGAACUGACGCUGAGGCGCGAAAGCGUGGGGAGCAAACAGG
rnacentral:rRNA from 1 species